GCCCUCAUCGUCUAGUCAGGACAGGACACCGCCCUUUCACGGCGGCGGCAGGGGUUCAAAUCCCCUUGAGGGCA
rnacentral:tRNA from 1 species